rnacentral:lncRNA from 13 species
GCUGAAGUCUAAUGCAGAGAUGGCCUGUUUUCUGCUUGACAAGUAAUGUUACCAAGACGUUGCAUCAGCCACAAAGUAGCUAGCUAGCUAGCUAAUGUUAGCUGUGAUGGUUGUAAAUGGAGAAUCUGGGUUAGCUUUAUGCUAUCUAAAUUCUAUGGCUGCCUUGAUAAAUAACUAAGGUGUACAUGGUAUUUAUGAUCUAAAACCAGUGAAGAUAUAGACAUAAUUAUGUGUAUUUUGAGAGUUAUGAUCAUUUAGAACCUACUUACAUUUUACAUGACACAUUGUUUUCUUGGGGCGGCUAGCUAACGUUUCUUGUGCAUUUCUCUGUUUGAGAGUGAUAGAACUGUAAUGGUGCUCGGCUGUAACGUUAGCAGCUGUAAUGGUGCUCGGCAGUAUAGUUGCCUCACAUUUUUGAGACUUACAAGUAACUAACGUUAUUACAGAACAUUACUGAAACAAUAUUAGCUAGCUAGUUAACAUUUUGUAGCUUGGUAGAGAGCUGACAAAUAAGCUCACUAGCUAGGUUUUGUGACAUACAUUAGCAAGCUAGAUAUGUGAUAUAAUAAUGGGACAUGUGUGAAAUAAAAAUGUAAUUUCUCAUCUUCUAGUUGUGAAAAGGCCCCACCACAAUCCACUCCAAGGGAGCUUUAUCAAGCAUUGGAGUGGCAUCCAGCACCACACUGUCAGAUAGCAAAGAACACAAGUGACUGUCUUUUUCAUUAGGGGAUGAGUUUCUGAAGGAGCCUGGAGUGGUUGCGCUAGAUGGGAGGAUCCUGGAGUGGUUGAGCUAGAUGGGAGGAGCCUGGAGGGGUUGAGCUAGAUGGGAGGAGCCUGGAGGGGUUGAGCUAGAUGGGAGCACCAUAGAGGAUCCUGGAGGGGUUGAGCUAGAUGGGAGCACCAUGGAGGAUCCUGGAGGGGUUGAGCUAGAUGGGAGCACCAUGGAGGAGGCUGGAGGGGUUGAGCUAGAUGGGAGCACCAUGGAGGCAACACAAGGUGAAAACAGGCUACACAAGGUGUUUUUCAUUAACUUUUCUCAGACAUUAUCACCCUAUAUGUGUAUCACAGUGCAAUCCAUUUUGUCACCAAAGCCCCAUAUACUACCCACCAUUGCGACCUGUACGCUCUCGUUGGCUGGCCCUCGCUUCAUACUGGUCGCCAAACCCACUGGCUCCAUGUCAUCUACAAGACCCUGCUAGGUAAAGUCCCCCCUUAUCUCAGCUCGCUGGUCACCAUUGCAUCUCCCACCUGUAGCACACGCUCCAGCAGGUAUAUCUCUCUAGUCACCCCCAAAACCAAUUCUUUCUUUGGCCGCCUCUCCUUCCAGUUCUCUGCUGCCAAUGACUGGAACGAACUACAAAAAUCUCUGAAACUGGAAACACUUAUCUCCCUCACUAGCUUUAAGCACCAACUGUCAGAGCAGCUCACAGAUUACUGCACCUGUACAUAGCCCACCUAUCAUUUAGCCCAAACAACUACCUCUUUCCCUACUGUAUUUUAUUUAUUUAUUUAUUUUGCUCCUUUGUACCCCAUUAUUUUUAUUUCUACUUUGCACAUUCUCCCAUUGCAAAUCUACCAUUCCAGUGUUUUACUUGCUAUAUUGUAUUUACUGUGCCACCAUGGCCUUUUUGCCUUUACCUCCCUUAUCUCACCUCAUUUGCUCACAUCGUAUAUAGACUUGUUUAUACUGUAUUAUUGACUGCAUGUUUGUUUUACUCCAUGUGUAACUCUGUGUCGUUGUAUGUGUCGAACUGCUUUGCUUUAUCUUGGCCAGGUCGCAAUUGUAAAUGAGAACUUGUUCUCAACUUGCCUACCUGGUUAAAUAAAGGUGAAAUAAAAAAUAAAUAAAAAAUUGCCAGUACUGUACAGAUCUUAUUCAGUGACUUUUCUUUUUUUGUUAUGUUCUAAAACAUCUAUUUAUCCUGAUGAAUAUGAGCAUCUCCGAAGAGACCAUAUCCAGUGGGGCAAAAAGUAUUUAGUCAGCCACCAAUUGUGAAAGUUCUCCCACUUAAAAAGAUGAGAGAGGCCUGCAAUUUUCAUCAUAGGUACACUUAUACUAUGACAGACAAAAUGAGAAAAAAAUCCAGAAAAUCACAUUGUUGGAUUUUUAAUGAAUUUAUUUGCAAAUUAU